ANAGUUUGAUCCUGGCUCAGGAUGAACGCUGGCGGCGUGCCUAAUACAUGCAAGUCGAACGCACAGCGAAAGGUGCUUGCACCUUUCAAGUGAGUGGCGAACGGGUGAGUAACACGUGGACAACCUGCCUCAAGGCUGGGGAUAACAUUUGGAAACAGAUGCUAAUACCGAAUAAAACUCAGUGUCGCAUGACACAAAGUUAAAAGGCGCUUUGGCGUCACCUAGAGAUGGAUCCGCGGUGCAUUAGUUAGUUGGUGGGGUAAAGGCCUACCAAGACAAUGAUGCAUAGCCGAGUUGAGAGACUGAUCGGCCACAUUGGGACUGAGACACGGCCCAAACUCCUACGGGAGGCUGCAGUAGGGAAUCUUCCACAAUGGGCGAAAGCCUGAUGGAGCAACGCCGCGUGUGUGAUGAAGGCUUUCGGGUCGUAAAGCACUGUUGUAUGGGAAGAACAGCUAGAAUAGGGAAUGAUUUUAGUUUGACGGUACCAUACCAGAAAGGGACGGCUAAAUACGUGCCAGCAGCCGCGGUAAUACGUAUGUCCCGAGCGUUAUCCGGAUUUAUUGGGCGUAAAGCGAGCGCA
rnacentral:rRNA from 1 species